CAUACUCGUCGUCGUUAUCCUGCUCACUUAACAUAAAAAAUGCUUUCUCAGUUGAGUACAGGAUAUACGCGUGUGCGGUACGAAGACGCGCCAGGAAAUUAAAGUGCGCAAUAAUGUUGCAUAUAAUUUAAGUUGAAAAUUACAAUCAAAACUAAAACGCUAUCUAAUUGCUGCCAUAACAAAAAAUCAAAUUUAAAUCUAAAGCAAAAUUACUA